rnacentral:piRNA from 1 species
UGACAUUUUUGGUGAUGAUUUCUAUGUACU